AUAUCUCUCUGUACGGGAAGGAUGAGAAGCUUCUACCAGGGUUCGAUUCGAGCGCAGCGAGAAAGCGUUGCCGCAGGCAACGACCCGAAGGGCGAAGCGCGCAGCGCUGAGUCA
rnacentral:sRNA from 5 species